CCUACGGGUGGCAGCAGUGAGGAAUAUUGGUCAAUGGGCGAGAGCCUGAACCAGCCAAGUAGCGUGAAGGAUGACUGCCCUAUGGGUUGUAAACUUCUUUUAUAUGGGAAUAAAGUGGUCCACGUGUGGGAUUUUGUAUGUACCAUAUGAAUAAGGAUCGGCUAACUCCGUGCCAGCAGCCGCGGUAAUACGGAGGAUCCGAGCGUUAUCCGGAUUUAUUGGGUUUAAAGGGAGCGUAGGUGGAUUGUUAAGUAAGUUGUGAAAGGUUGGAGCUUAACCGGGAAACUGCAUGUGAAACUGGCAGUCUUGAGUACAGUAGAGGUGGGCGGAAUGCGUGGUGUAGCGGUGAAAUGCUUAGAGAUCACGCAGAACUCCGAUUGCGAAGGCAGCUUACCGGACUGCAACUGACACUGAGGCUCGAAAGCGUGGGUAUCAAACAGGAUUAGAUACCCUUGUAGUC
rnacentral:rRNA from 1 species